rnacentral:rRNA from 7 species
AGAGUUUGAUCAUGGCUCAGAUUGAACGCUGGCGGCAGGCCUAACACAUGCAAGUCGAGCGGUAGCACAGAGAGCUUGCUCUCGGGUGACGAGCGGCGGACGGGUGAGUAAUGUCUGGGAAACUGCCUGAUGGAGGGGGAUAACUACUGGAAACGGUAGCUAAUACCGCAUAAUGUCGCAAGACCAAAGUGGGGGACCUUCGGGCCUCAUGCCAUCAGAUGUGCCCAGAUGGGAUUAGCUAGUAGGUGGGGUAACGGCUCACCUAGGCGACGAUCCCUAGCUGGUCUGAGAGGAUGACCAGCCACACUGGAACUGAGACACGGUCCAGACUCCUACGGGAGGCAGCAGUGGGGAAUAUUGCACAAUGGGCGCAAGCCUGAUGCAGCCAUGCCGCGUGUGUGAAGAAGGCCUUCGGGUUGUAAAGCACUUUCAGCGGGGAGGAAGGCGGUGAGGUUAAUAACCUCAUCGAUUGACGUUACCCGCAGAAGAAGCACCGGCUAACUCCGUGCCAGCAGCCGCGGUAAUACGGAGGGUGCAAGCGUUAAUCGGAAUUACUGGGCGUAAAGCGCACGCAGGCGGUCUGUCAAGUCGGAUGUGAAAUCCCCGGGCUCAACCUGGGAACUGCAUUCGAAACUGGCAGGCUAGAGUCUUGUAGAGGGGGGUAGAAUUCCAGGUGUAGCGGUGAAAUGCGUAGAGAUCUGGAGGAAUACCGGUGGCGAAGGCGGCCCCCUGGACAAAGACUGACGCUCAGGUGCGAAAGCGUGGGGAGCAAACAGGAUUAGAUACCCUGGUAGUCCACGCCGUAAACGAUGUCGAUUUGGAGGUUGUGCCCUUGAGGCGUGGCUUCCGGAGCUAACGCGUUAAAUCGACCGCCUGGGGAGUACGGCCGCAAGGUUAAAACUCAAAUGAAUUGACGGGGGCCCGCACAAGCGGUGGAGCAUGUGGUUUAAUUCGAUGCAACGCGAAGAACCUUACCUGGUCUUGACAUCCACAGAACUUAGCAGAGAUGCUUUGGUGCCUUCGGGAACUGUGAGACAGGUGCUGCAUGGCUGUCGUCAGCUCGUGUUGUGAAAUGUUGGGUUAAGUCCCGCAACGAGCGCAACCCUUAUCCUUUGUUGCCAGCGGUUAGGCCGGGAACUCAAAGGAGACUGCCAGUGAUAAACUGGAGGAAGGUGGGGAUGACGUCAAGUCAUCAUGGCCCUUACGACCAGGGCUACACACGUGCUACAAUGGCAUAUACAAAGAGAAGCGACCUCGCGAGAGCAAGCGGACCUCAUAAAGUAUGUCGUAGUCCGGAUUGGAGUCUGCAACUCGACUCCAUGAAGUCGGAAUCGCUAGUAAUCGUAGAUCAGAAUGCUACGGUGAAUACGUUCCCGGGCCUUGUACACACCGCCCGUCACACCAUGGGAGUGGGUUGCAAAAGAAGUAGGUAGCUUAACCUUCGGGAGGGCGCUUACCACUUUGUGAUUCAUGACUGGGGUGAAGUCGUAACAAGGUAACCGUAGGGGAACCUGCGGUUGGAUCACCU